AGUCGGUUCGUUUCGACAGAGAGCACGCGACGCAGGAAGCCAAGAAUAUUUGCUACCUGGCCCGUUACAGAAAAAGUUGGUCCACUCUCGAAGAAAAACGAAAUAAUUCCUUGUCAGCUACAGUCACAAGUAACUCUUGAUGGAGUCGCAGGCGUUGUUGGAGGAGCCGGGCAUCCAGCAGCGAGGACCACAGCUGAGACUUUCCGCCCUCGUGGAGGUGACGCUCCAGUCAAGGGAGAAAGACGGCCAGCAAAACAAAGAAGGAAAUCACACUCUCUGCAGGUGGCGAGUGUUAGGGAAAAGAAAAAGGGGGUGGGGAGGGUCAGAAGGACAAUUGAAAUGAAGCGGUCAAGGGCAGACGCCGUGAAGACUUAAAAACCAUGAAGGGAAGAGCCACGUGGACUUCUGAGGGAAGAGCGUCUCAGGCAGAGGGAACAGCCAGUGCAAGGGCCCUGAGGCAGGAGCGUAUUUGCAGGUUCGAGAAGGAUCGGGGAGGCAGUGUGCUGGAGCAGGGUGAAACAGUGUGGGGUGGGGACCAGAGUAGGUUGGCGAUGGCAAGUCACCCCAUGUCGGGACUUCCAGGCCAUCGAGGGGACUCUGGUGGGAAUGAGCAGCCACAGGUGGAUUUUGAGCAGAGAAGCGACGUGAUCUGAUGUAGAUGUGAUGGGACCCCAGGUGCUGAGACGGGGUGGGGGCAGGGGAGGACAGGAACGUGGCCCUCGGGAGUCUGCACAGGGGCCGGGCUCUGAAUGUUGCGGACCAGGAUGGUGGCAGCGUCACGAGGCGGCUGGGUUCUGGGGGCAGGGCUUGCUGGAGCCCCACGUGAGAAGUGGGAGGUGAGGGAAGAAAGGGGUCGAGGACGACCUCGCUCGUGUGACCUUUGAUUCCCUGUCCCAUUCCAUCUUCCUUCCUGGCCUCCCAGUCUGGAAGCCCCAUGAAGACAGGGGCCGCCUGCCUCUCGGCCAUCACUGUACCCCCUUCACUGCAGCAGGGGGCCCCCCACCCAUAUCUCUGAGUAAAUGAAUGAGCGACGAGCGGACGGCAUGGUCGUCUGCUUCCUCGGGGCCCGUGAUGGGCUGAAGUGUGUCCCCCAAAUUCCCGUGUUGGAGUCCGAACCCUGGCACCCCAGAAUGUGACCAUAUCUGGAUCCGGGGUCUUUAAAGAGGUGAUCAAGGUAAAAUGAGGUCACUAGGGUGGGCCCUGAUCCAGUGCGACUGGGGUCCUUAUAAGAAGAGGAGAUGAGGACACAGACACACAGAGGGACGACCCUGUGAGGACACAGGGAGAAGACGGCGUCUACACGCCAAGGAGAGAGGCCUCACGGGGAACCACCUGCUGACAGCUGGAUCUCGGCCGUCCAGCCUCCAGGACUGGACCAGGAUAUAUCUCUGUGGUUUAAGCCGCGCGAUCUGGGGGACUCCGUUACAGUGGCCACAGCGGACCCACACAGGGAGUAUGGCCGAGCACCACGGAGCGAGGUGUGCCCCCCACACGGGACAGCGGACACUUGCUCUGAAGGUGCGGCUUCCGGCCAGGGCACCUGGCAGCUGGUGACUGAACUGGGCAAGGCCCUGAUCUCCUGGGGCCCACGUCCAUCCUGGGGACAUUGGACCAGGGAGAAGACAGCAUGCAUGUGGCCUCUGGAGUGGCAGGACCAUGGCCCUGGAAGGACAAGAACCCUCGCUGUCACCCAUUUGCUCGGCUGUGACAAGGCCCCAGCACCUUUAUGAGAACCAGCUGAGAGGCGCGCUGUUGUCUGGAAUCUCCAAACCCACAUUCCUGGGUCUUUGUAAUCUGCCCCACCGAGCCCCCCGUCCCCAGCCCACAGCCCCUCUGAGCACCUGCCUCGGGGCCCCUCCAACGCCUCCCACCCGCCUCUGCCACAGCCCACAUCCCAAGGUUCCAGAGCCUCAGGAUGCACGGUGGAAACUAGAUGAAGGCUCUAGGGGAGCAGGCCGGGUCUGUGGAUGUCGAGAGGUGUUCCCAACCACCCUGGGGUGGAGACAGUGCUGUCUCUGGACCCAGAGAGAGCCAGGAAAAGGAAGAGGGAGAGCCAGAGGGCAGUGACGGGAGGGGACGCCAUGGCCACUGGCCUGCAGUACGAUCUGCCUUGCUGGUGGCCCCCAGCCUGGCUGUGCUGAGUCCCCCUGCUGGUCCCCUACCUGAGAUUCUGCUCAGAGCCCACGCAGGGGAAGCGGGGUAGGCAUGGCUGCAGCGUGGGGUGGCCGCCUGCCUGGGGACCCCGCCCUGCCCGGACAUCGCCCUCACUAGGAUGUGAGCUCACGGGGGCUGGAUCUCGGCUGCCCUUUAGCUCAGGACCCGCCCAGCACACCUGGCUGGCGGCAGGUGCGUCUCCAUCAGUACCUGCUGAGUGACUGAAUGUAUGAAUGAACGAAGGAAUGAAGGACCCUAAGAACAGCUACGAGGAAAGUGCUAUCUUCACCCCACUACACGGAUGAGGGGUCAGCCACCAGUCACGUAACUGCCGAGCGGCCAGCCGUAGGGGACCUGGAUCUAACUCUGGAGCUGCAGUGAUCCACAGAAUCUCCUUCGCUUUUUCUCGCAGGGUGCUGGGCUCCCCUUCUGAGCAGCCAGCAACCCAGCAGCCUCUGCUGCCCCCACCUGAGUGGCCCCGAGGAUCGUAGGGCAGUGCUGGGGGUGGUCUCAACGGACCCCAGGCUGGCACCUGCAGGGCCUCGGGGGCAUUUGUGCAUCUCCUCCUGGCAGAGUGGGAGGAGAGGGGUCCAGGGCUCUGGGGGCCCCAUCAGCACCCUGCCCAGGGUCGCUUGGAUUGUGCUUGAGGACAGCAUUUGAGGUUUGCAGGUCUGGGGAGAGCGUGACCCCAUCUCCUGGAGUCCUGGCACACGUUAGCACCAUGAGUUUCAGGGGUGAUCAUCAUUGGCCCCCAAAGGCCUGGGAGGAUAGGAUGCCCACCUUCACGCCCAGGCCAGCUGGUGAGCAGCAGCCACGGGGUGUAGGAACAAGGAGGGCAUCGGGACCGUGGCGGAGGGGGGCUGGACUUGCGCGGACAAGCCGGGACUCUCCCAGUGAAGAGCAUUCGACAAAAUAACCCACCCGUACUCCUCAAAACAUCAGGGUUGUGCAAAGACAGACUCAGAGAGACUGGAGAAUGGGUCCAGACUCAGGAGACGGGGGAGAGGCGACAGCUGAGAGCAGCUGGGGUCCCAGUCUGGCUCCUGCACAGCGGAGAAAUAGCCCCAGAGAGCAGAGUGGGAAAAGCAAAGACACCUGAACACGGGCAGUGGACUCGAGAAAAAUACUGCAUCCGGGCAACCGCCCCGAUUUCAACAGCUGUCCUGUUGGGAGAAUGUCCAUGUUCUUAGAAAUUUACACGCAAGUGUCUAGGGGUCAAGGGGCACCAUGUCUCCAACUUACUCUCAAACGAGUCAGAGGAAAACCACGUGUGUGCGCGUGCGUGUGCGUGGAUUUCACAGAGAGAUAGAAACAUUGCACCUGCGCGUCUAUGCGUAGAGAGAAAGCGAUCGUGCGGACGGGGCCAAUGGAAGCCACUGGGGAAUCGGGUGUUGGGGCCUGUGGGAGGCCUACGGAGUCCCGUGCUCCAUCCUUGCAAUUUUUCUGCAAACGUGAAAUGACAUGAAAAUUAAAAGCUGUAGAAAAGAUGGAAGGGCCUGGGUCCCAGUUGCAGUGUUCCCAGCUGUGUGAUCCUUGGCGCCCCACCUCACCCCUUGGGCCCCCUUCUUCCCUAUCUGUCACCUGUG
ensembl:lncRNA